GCCCUAGUAACGGCGAGUGAAGCGGCAUCAGCUCAAAUUUGAAAUCUGGCUCUUUCAGAGUCCGAGUUGUAAUUUGCAGAGGGCGCUUUGGUGUCGGCAGCGGUCCAAGUUCCUUGGAACAGGACGUCACAGAGGGUGAGAAUCCCGUACGUGGUCGCUGACCUACACCGUGUAAAGCCCCUUCGACGAGUCGAGUUGUUUGGGAAUGCAGCUCUAAAUGGGAGGUAAAUUUCUUCUAAAGCUAAAUACUGGCCAGAGACCGAUAGCGCACAAGUAGAGUGAUCGAAAGAUGAAAAGCACUUUGGAAAGAGAGUCAAACAGCACGUGAAAUUGUUGAAAGGGAAGCGCUUGCAGCCAGACUUGCUUGUAGUUGCUCAUCCGGGCUUUUGCCCGGUGCACUCUUCUGCGAGCAGGCCAGCAUCAGUUUGGACGGUUGGAUAAAGGCCUCUGUCACGUACCUUCUCUCGGGAAGGCCUUAUAGGGGAGGCGUCAUGCAACCAGUCUGGACUGAGGUCCGCGCAUCUGCUAGGAUGCUGGCGUAAUGGCUGUAAGCGGCCCGUCUUGAAACACGGACCAAGGAGUCUAACAUCUAUGCGAGUGUUUGGGUGUCAAGCCCGAGCGCGUAAUGAAAGUGAACGGAGGUGGGAUCCCGCAGGGGUGCACCAUCGACCGAUCCUGAUGUCUUCGGAUGGAUUUG
rnacentral:rRNA from 1 species